AUACGGAGGGGGCUAGCGUUGUUCGGAAUUACUGGGCGUAAAGCGCGCGUAGGCGGAUUGGUCAGUUAGGGGUGAAAUCCCAGGGCUUAACCCUGGAACUGCCUCUAAUACUGCCAGUCUUGAGUUCGGGAGAGGUGAGUGGAAUUCCUAGUGUAGAGGUGAAAUUCGUAGAUAUUAGGAAGAACACCAGUGGCGAAGGCGGCUCACUGGCCCGAUACUGACGCUGCGGCGCGAAAGCGUGGGGAGCAAACAGGAUUAGAAACCCUUGUAGUCC
rnacentral:rRNA from 1 species